UGUGCUUUUUUUGUUGUUCUUCUUCUGCUUUAGAGAUCACUGCUGAGAAGGAUGACGGCGGGCUCUGUUUCAGUGCCGCAGGUCAUACCUCUUCGGAUCCCUCUUCCAGGGAGGGCCAAGCACCGGAUAGACACCAGCACCCGGGUAGAAAUAAAGUCAGAUACACCUGAGGUCUCUAUUUAUUACACUUUAGAUGGAAGUAAACCAGAACUUUUUAGGAAACCUGGCUAUGGAGAGCAUAACACUUUUGAGUAUAAGAGUCCUAUCGUGUUACCAGUUGGGAAAAUAACAGUCAAGGCGCUUGCGGUUACCAAAGACUGCAGGGAGAGUGCUGUUGUAACAAAGGUGUUUCUAGUAGAGUACAAGCAACCAAACAUCCUCUUCUCUAUGGAAGACCAUGACAAGAAGGUCCUAAAAGAUGUCACAACACAGGAGAAGGAAGAUGGAAUAUUUACUACAAAACCAAAAAAAAAUGGAAUGAAUGUGGAAAUCAAGCCUGCCUGGAGUGAAACACUCCAAGAAUUUCGAGACUUGGAAACAGAAAGAAAGACUGAUCACAAGGCCCUGCAAACACCACAGCUCCUGACCAGCCCCGUGGGAACAGCAGGGUGUGGAGAGGAAUCCUCACUACUACCAGCGGAGUCCUUACAGUUUGCCAGUUCUGCAGUGACCAGCCGGAAGAGCCUAGCAAGCACACAGGUGGCGAGGAUCCAGAGGGAGAGAGGUUUCCUCAGAUGUGCACACUGCUCUGCACCUCGCCUGUCUGACCCCUUGGCUCACUUCUGCCAGGAAUGUGGCUUUCCUAUCCCACCCGUACCAGUGCGGCGCUUCCCAUCCCCUGAAGGAGCGCAGAUGGCACCAUGUCUUGAAUGCAGACAUCUUGUGCCAAUGAAUACACCCACUUGCAUUGUGUGUGAGUCACCAAUAGAUCCACAGCUGCAGCCCCAAACCAACACCUGCGUGAAGGGCAAAGUAAUUUGUCAGGCAUGUGGCACAGGAAAUCCUCGUCACCAUAAACACUGUGUGACCUGCGAAAGUGAACUGCCUGAAACACAGAUGCCCAUGUUUGGAAGAGAUCCCCCCCCACCUUACACCAGUCAGCAAGGGAAGACAGUAUUGUGCUCAAAAUGCAAUUGUGUGAACCACUGUGAUGCACGUUUCUGUGUCUGGUGUGGAGCCAAGCCUGACCCUCUUCCAUGCUACUUUAUUUGUUGCAAGUGUGGUACAAAAACCCGUCCAUAUGCUCGGUUCUGUGGGUCCUGUGGUGUUUACAUAGAGCCCCCAUCAAGACUGAGUUCUCAGAAUGGAGUCCUCAUGGAUUCUGGAGACUCACUGAGGUUUUCUGAGGCUAAAUCACUUCCAGCUCAAAUUGCCUGGCAGCCUCUUCCUAUUUCCUUGUCCAAAUCAAGAGCAUAUCUAAAAGAAACAGAAGAUAAAGGAACCCAAACCGUUGGACUUUUUUACCCAUCUAGCAAACUGUUGGAAAAGAAGGAACUUGAGCUGGUUUUACACAAAGAAAAGCUGCAAAAGAUGAGUGAUCAUAAGCCUCUCCUGACAGCCAUCAGUCCUGGAAAAGGCUACUGGAGAAAACAGCUGGAUCAUGUUUGCGCUCACCUUAGAAGCUAUGCCCAGAACAACCUUGAAUUUAGAGCACUGGUUGGAGAACCUCGAAUGGGAAAGAUUACUUCUGCUGCCAUCCAUGAGAAUGACCAUCAAGUCACUAUUACGUUAAAUUACGCUCUUGCUACGAACAAGGGUAUUCAUACCAAACCGGUCAAGUUCAAUAAUCAUUACCUGAACAGCGUAACAGAGGGCAGAGAUGAACAGGAUGGCAGUCAGACUAGUUCUGGCAAAGAAGAUCAGAAUCUUUCAUAUUCAAGAGGGAAAACAGAGAGAACAAAGUCAAAAACACUCACAAAAAAAGAAGAUAAUCCCUCUGUAUGUGUCUGCAGCUGGUAAAGGAAAAACUAGAUAUAGAACAGCACUGACAAGAAAAAGGGCACCCAAGAAUAAAAAUAGAAAGCUGACUUGGGGAAAUGGAGUGAGGAGGGAGGGACAGAAGUCCAACUUAAUUCAAAACCUGAAAAUUGAUGGCUGGCAUUUAUUUCAAAACUGAACAUAGUCAAGCUUUCUUCCCACCAAAAGCUUCACGAGACUAUUCCUGGUUUUGGAUUCAUCCUGUUUUAAUGACACAGCGUUAGGCCUAAAUACUGUUGCAGAAUGAUUUCUUACAGGUUUUUCUAAGAAGCGACAUCUGAUGGAGGCAUUACCAUUUCCGCUUGAUGUUAUCAUCUGGUUCUGACCCCACAGGACAUCCCCUUGGCUGUGCUAUAGCUGCUGUUUGCAAUCUGACUGCAAACAAGAUGGGUUACGCGACCUAUGCAACACGUUUUGGAUGAGCUCAGUUUUCUCACCAAGCUGAGAUGUCAGCACAGCUAAGGCAUUCCGUAAUGCAAGAAGCAAACCUCUAUUUCCACUUGUGACCAAACAUUCAGGAAGCACUGCCUACUAUUUUAUUUAUUAUUUCAAAAGGGAAAUGUGCAGUUAUCUGGGCGUGGAUCACUCAGCCUACUCAAUAGGGGGAAGAAGAUGUAGAGCUUUGUGAUGCGAGUCCAGAGAUAAAAAUGCUUUGUCACGUGAGUGGGCUUCUGAAAAGGGGGAAGAAGGUGGAAGGGUGGAAAGAAAUAAAAUGAAAAAGGUGUUGGUUUUGUUAAGAUUUAGUUAAAUAACUUCUGUAAGGCAAUUAUACUCAUUUUCUAAGUAACAUGCUCCCAGAAGUUCUGGAAGCUUCAGACUUUUGAUUCUGUAGGAAAGAACCAAUGCCAUGUUUAAUUUUACUGUCUUGAGAAAAUCUCUGUACAGCCCUGGACAGGUGUAUCGAUGUAAAGCUAGUCACUUGCAGAUCUGUUCACAGAAUCAAGACUUCAGUAGUGAGAUAUUAGCCUGGGUUAUCCAGCACUGGCUCAGAUUCAGAAAGAAAUUCCCAUGGAAGAGUCUGGGGUAAUGCAGGCUCAACUAUAUUGCAGUCUUCCCUCAACUACAUUUUGUAUGCAUUUUCCACCUUCACUCAAAUGCAGAUAUCCCACUUGUAUUUCCACUAUGUGAAAUGUUAGUGGCAGUUUUCUGUGUUUCCACAGCCAGAGUCCAGACAGCUACUGGAUGAACUGGGUCCAAAUGGGAAAGGAAGAAUCACCUUGAUAGAACAGUUGCUUAGUGAAGGAGCUGAUCCAAACUGCACCAGUGACGAGGACCGACCUGCUCUGACGGUGGCUGUCCUUAACAGGCA